rnacentral:rRNA from 1 species
CCUACGGGUGGCAGCAGUGAGGAAUAUUGGUCAAUGGACGGGAGUCUGAACCAGCCAUGCCGCGUGCGGGAGGACGGCACUAUGUAUUGUAAACUUCUUUUGUCCAGGGGUAAACCUUGAUACGUGUAUUCAGCUGAGAGUACUUUACGAAUAAGGAUCGGCUAACUCCGUGCCAGCAGCCGCGGUAAUACGGAGGAUGCAAGCGUUAUCCGGAUUUAUUGGGUUUAAAGGGUGCGGAGGCGGGUUGAUAAGUUAGAGGUGAAAUGUCCGGGCUUAACUCGGGAACUGCCUCUAAUACUGUUGAUCGCGAGAGUAGAUGAGGUAGGCGGAAUGCAUGGUGUAGCGGUGAAAUGCUUAGAGAUCACACAGAACACCGAUUGCGAAGGCAGCAUACCAA